rnacentral:rRNA from 1 species
UGAGGAAUAUUGGGUCAAUGGACGAGAGUCUGAACCAGCCAAGUCGCGUGAAGGAAGACGGAUCUAUGGUUUGUAAACUUCUUUAGUGCGGGAACAAAGCGGUGUCGUGACGCCGGAUGAGUGUACCGCAAGAAUAAGCAUCGGCUAACUCCGUGCCAGCAGCCGCGGUAAUACGGAGGAUGCGAGCGUUAUCCGGAUUUAUUGGGUUUAAAGGGAGCGCAGGCUGCGAGGCAAGUCAGCGGUCAAAUGUCGGGGCUCAACCCCGGCCUGCCGUUGAAACUGUCCUGCUAGAGUUCGAGUGAGGUAUGCGGAAUGCGUUGUGUAGC